GCUAGUUGUAUUAACUAUUAGUUAAUGCAAAAUCGAUUAUGUCGAAUAAAGUUCUAGGUAGAAUAAUGAUUAUGACAAUUUUCUACCUAUAUGUCUUGACCAAACCUCGUGCCAGCAGUCGCGGUAAUACGUGGAAGACUAGUGUUAUUCAUCUUUAAUAGGUUUAAAGGGUACCUAGACGGUUUUUCUAGCCCAAAAUAGGGUACAGAUUUACUAGAGUUUUAUGUGAGGAGGGGAGUACUUAUGGAGUUAGAGAUGAAAUUCUGUCAUACUAUAAGGAAACUGGUGGCGGCGUAAGCAACCUUCUAAGUAUAAACUGACGUUGAGGGACGAAGGCUUGGGUAGCAAAUAGGAUUAGAUACCCUAGUAGUCCAAGCAGACAAUCCUGAAUGCCAUAGAUUAGAUUAUUUUUGGUCUAUAAAUGAAAGUGUAAGCAUUCCACCUCAAGAGUAAUGUGGCAACACAGGAACUGAAAUCAUUAGACCGUUUCUGAAACCAGUAGUGAAGUAUGUUAUUUAAUUCGAUGAUCCGCGAAAAACCUCACCACAAUUUGAAUAUUAUUAAAAUAAUACAAGCGUUGCACGGCUGUCUUCAGUUAAUGUCGUGAGAUUUUGGUUAAUUCCAUUAAAUUAACGUAAACCCUUACUUUAUU
rnacentral:rRNA from 1 species